AGUGAACGCUGGCGGUAGGCCUAACACAUGCAAGUCGAACGGCGGCACAGUAAGAGCUUGCUCUUACGGGUGGCGAGUGGCGGACGGGUGAGGAAUACAUCGGAAUCUACUUUUUCGUGGGGGAUAACGUAGGGAAACUUACGCUAAUACCGCAUACGACCUACGGGUGAAAGCAGGGGAUCUUCGGACCUUGCGCGAUUGAAUGAGCCGAUGUCGGAUUAGCUAGUUGGCGCGGUAAAGGCCCACCAAGGCGACGAUCCGUAGCUGGUCUGAGAGGAUGAUCAGCCACACUGGAACUGAGACACGGUCCAGACUCCUACGGGAGGCAGCAGUGGGGAAUAUUGGACAAUGGGCGCAAGCCUGAUCCAGCCAUACCGCGUGGGUGAAGAAGGCCUUCGGGUUGUAAAGCCCUUUUGUUGGGAAAGAAAAGCAGCAGGUUAAUACCCCGCUGUUCUGACGGUACCCAAAGAAUAAGCACCGGCUAACUUCGUG
rnacentral:rRNA from 1 species